rnacentral:rRNA from 1 species
UACGUAGGGUGCAAGCGUUGCUCGGAAUCACUGGGCGUAAAGGGUGCGUAGGCGGGUCUUUAAGUCAGGGGUGAAAUCCUGGAGCUCAACUCCAGAACUGCCUUUGAUACUGAAGAUCUUGAGUUCGGGAGAGGUGAGUGGAACUGCGAGUGUAGAGGUGAAAUUCGUAGAUAUCUGGAGGAACACCGGUGGCGAAGGCGGCAUCCUGGACCGACACUGACGCUGAGGAGCGAAAGCCAGGGGAGCAAACGGG